rnacentral:rRNA from 1 species
CAUGCUAGACGUAGUUUGAUCCUGGCUCAGAGCGAACGCUAGCGGCGGGCUUAACACAUGCAAGUCGAGCGGAGAGCUUCGGCUCUCAGCGGCGAACGGGUGAGUAACACGUAGGUCACGUACCCUUUGAUGGGGAAUAACCUAGGGAAACCUGGGCUAAUACCGCAUAUGUCCUUCGGGAUGAAAGCCUUCGGGCGUCAGAGGAUCGGCCUGCGGCCCAUUAUUUAAUCCUAGUUGGUAGGGUAAUGGCCUACCAAGGGUACGAUGGGUAGCUGGUCUGAGAGGAUGAUCAGCCACACUGGAACUGAGACACGGUUCAGACUCCUACGGGAGGCAGCAGUGGGGAAUAUUGGACAAUGGGCGAAAGCCUGAUCCAGCCACGCCGCGUGGGUGAUGAAGGCCUUCGGGUUGUAAAGCCCUGUCGGGAGGGACGAAUCAAUGACGGUACCUCCCAAGAAAGCACCGGCUAACUCCGUG